rnacentral:rRNA from 1 species
GACGAACGCUGGCGGCGUGCCUAAUACAUGCAAGUAGAACGCUGAAGGAGGAGCUUGCUUCUCUGGAUGAGUUGCGAACGGGUGAGUAACGCGUAGGUAACCUGCCUGGUAGUGGGGGAUAACUAUUGGAAACGAUAGCUAAUACCGCAUAAUAGCAGUUGUUGCAUGAUAACUGUUUGAAAGGUGCAAUUGCACCGCUACCAGAUGGACCUGCGUUGUAUUAGCUAGUUGGUGGGGUAACGGCUCACCAAGGCGACGAUACAUAGCCGACCUGAGAGGGUGAUCGGCCACACUGGGACUGAGACACGGCCCAGACUCCUACGGGAGGCAGCAGUAGGGAAUCUUCGGCAAUGGACGGAAGUCUGACCGAGCAACGCCGCGUGAGUGAAGAAGGUUUUCGGAUCGUAAAGCUCGGUUGUAAGAGAAGAACGAGUGUGAGAGUGGAAAGUUCACACUGUGACGGUAUCUUACCAGAAAGGGACGGCUAACUACGUG